ACCGCAUAUAUAUUUUUUAAAUUUAAAAAAAAAUGUAAUUUUUAUAAUAUUGACUCUAUAAUGACAAACAUUUUAUUAACUUUGUAUCAUGAAAAUUUGGAAUGUUAAAAUAAUUUUAUAUUAUGUAAUGUAUAUAUCUUUAAGAUUUUAUAUUGUUUAUUAUAUGCUAUGAUAUUUCAAAUAAAAAAUUAUGUUAUGUUUUUAAAAAUUUUAUAUAUAUGUUUUGCAUUUGAAAAAGGAGUCCGGCUACUAUACUAUUGGUAGCACGGGGCCUCCCGUGCUACCAAGUUGUUUUCGAUGAUGCGCCUUCCAAAUCGACGAUCGGCUCCGUUAGACUUGAUCUGCACUAUUAAAAGUAUUUGGAAACUAAAUUUCAUAAUUUUUCGAUAUCAUUUACUUAUCAAACAAAUAGUCUAAAAUUGAACGGCUGAAAAUAAAAAUCUCAUAAAAAAUGAUGAUAAAAAAUUUAAAUUCAAGAUCAGAUAUACUGAUCUUACUCUAAAUAGUGAAAAGAAUUUUCUAUAAAAUUUUCAUCGGAUUUGGAUUGUUUUACACCGUUAAACUCACAAACACGCCACAUCGGCCAUUAAAAUGGUCAAUUUUGAGAUCUUUUGAUCACUAAAUGAUGUCCGAAAAAUUAUGAAAUUUAAUUUCCAAAUACUUUUAAUAGUGUAGAUCAAGUCUAACGGAGCUGAUCGUCAAUUUGGAAGCCGCAUCAUCGAAAACAACUUGGUAGCACGGGAGGUCCCGUGCUACUGAUAGUAUAG
rnacentral:lncRNA from 1 species